UACGUAGGUGGCAAGCGUUGUCCGGAAUUAUUGGGCGUAAAGCGCGCGCAGGCGGUCCUUUAAGUCUGAUGUGAAAGCCCACGGCUCAACCGUGGAGGGUCAUUGGAAACUGGGGGACUUGAGUGCAGGAGAGAAGAGUGGAAUUCCACGUGUAGCGGUGAAAUGCGUAGAGAUCCGGAGGAACACCAGCGGCGAAGGCGGCAUCCUGGACUGGUCCUGACACUCAGGAGCGAAAGCGUGGGGAGCGAUCCGG
rnacentral:rRNA from 1 species